CUCUAUCAGGAUCCACAUUCACUGUUGCUCAGUACCUCUGCUCACAGCUCCCUUCUUUUUUUGUUUUGCUGCAGCCCCAACAGUUUGGUCACACUGGUGGCUCCUCUGCAGGGAAAAGGAAUCUUACUGUUUGCUGCAGUUGUCCCCCUUUGCCCCCGUCUUAAAGGAGGGAUUUGUUUGCUCCCUUUGGAGAUCUGACAUCCCAGCCUGUUCAGUGAACCCACCCAGCUGAGGUUGGAUCAGCCUGAGAAUUUCUUCAGGAACAGCCAGAACUUGCUGUCAAACCAUAUCUAACUCUGUCAAGACUUCCACUCAGCGUCUGGGGCAGAGGGGGAGCCUCGUCCAGAAGACGCGGAUCGAGGCCGAGGACGGGC
ensembl:lncRNA